UUUUUUUUUUUUUUUUUUUUUUUUUUGCCUUUUAUGGCCACACCCAUGGCAGAUGGAGGUUCCCAGGCUAGGGGUCAAAUCGGAGCUAUAGCCACCAGCCUACACCAGAGCCACAGCAACGAGGGAUCCGAGCCGCGUCUGCGGACCUACACCACAGCUCACGGCAACGUGGGAUCGUUAACCCACUGAACAAGGCCAGGGAUCGAACCCGCAACCUCAUGGUUCCUAGUUGGAUUCGUUAACCACUGCGCCAUGACGGGAACUCCCCUAUUUAAUUCUUAAGUUUAAUAGUUGGGGGAGUAUUUUGCUGAGAUUUGUCACUAGUUUUAACACACACAAGAUUAUUCCUGGGCCUAUGUUAUAAUAGGUUUGUCUUUUCACAGUCAGACUUCUUGGUUUAGGUGAAUGAUGUCACUAGACUGGCUACCAGUCCAACAAUGAGAUAAAUAAUUUUAUAUUGGUCAUGAAAUGUUUCCUAGUUGUAGUCCAUUCAUUGACAGGAAAGCUUUGGAGUAAAUACAACACAGGGGUUUUUGACUUAGCUAGUAAAAUUUACCCUCUUUUCCUAAAGAGUAAUGUAGUGGCUAAGACAUCAGUAACAUAGUUUGAGGUCAUUUAUUUUACUUUGUAGGGAACCAGGAUAUCAGGCGGAAUUGAAGUUGUCCAAAAGUACCACAGUUUUGUGUUGCUAGCUGGUGACAUGUUUAUGUCCUCAUGUGCCAAAUUAAAUGUGGGAGAUAGCCAGCAAGGGGGUAGGAACGGCCACAUUUAUUUUAUCCAGCUGGCACAUUGGUGGAGGUUGGUGCAUCUUGGGUUUUCUUGGUCCUGAUUUUUCUUCUGCUGAUUAUUGUCACUGUGAUCCAUGGCCCUUGGAGGGAGUUAAUGAUUUUUACAAGACAGCUACUCAUUGCUAAGCUAUGAUCCUUUGUUAUCUGUUUUCAUCAUGACGAAAUACGUAUUUUGAGAUACAUCAUUGCUGUCUCGAAGACUUGCUUUCAUUUUCCAACAGGAUCUUCAGUCUCACUUAAGUCUCCCAAGGGCUUCUCGUAUGGCACUUUCUGGACUAAUGCAGUGAGUGCAUUGGAUGUUGGAAUGGAGUCAAGUUUUCUCUCCCAACAUCUGGCUUGGCUGUGUGGCUCCCUGAGCAGCAGGUGCAGGAGAAUCACAGAACCCCAUCCCUUUUUAAGAUGCUUGACUUGGGGCUUCCCUGUUAGCCUCACAAGGCUUCCAGAGCACACUGAGGCUUUUGAGGUGGUCACACUCCCUUUUCAUAUGAAAGGGUCUUGCCCUCCUCUUUGCCAGCAGUUAAAGUUGUUUUAUACUUGUCGGUUCUUAACGGUGUUGCUGUCUUAUAAUUUCUGUUAAGGAGAGCCAUAGCUCAAAUCUAGUUUCCUUCUGUACUAGUAGGGGGAAAAGGUUAAGAUUAAAGAGACUUGAGACUAUGGAGGGAAUGGUGGAAUGCCUUCCCUUAGGCCUUUAUUGUUAUUAUUUUUCAAAGUUUUUUUUUUCCGCCUAAUUGUGAGAUACAAGGUGUUCCCUGGGGAUUCCCACCUGGUUUAAAGUGGUUUCCUUUGUGGAUGUGUCCUGUUGCUUAGCAGGUCAAUGAUGAAUCCACAUCUCAGAUCAUGGAUUAAGGGAUGGGUUUUAUUAGGGAAAGGGAGUUCCCAUGUGAGAGAAGAGGAGGCACGGGUCACCCAUCCUUCCAUUGUCCCAUUGAGUGGUGUGUCAGGGCCUCUCUCUGUUGGAGGGAUUCCCCUGCCCUCCUCCCAGUGCCCUCUCUUUUUAUCAGGAGUAAUCUUACCAGUGAGGAGAUGCGCAAACUGCCUGGAUGCUAAGAGUCUGUAUUUGGGUCUCCGCAAUCUAUAGACGUUGUCUGGGAGUGCCAGCUGCCCAACACUUGAAACCUUGGGUACCAUGGGACAAUAAACCUGCAGGAAGCAGUUUCAGGUCCUGUGGGAAGUUGAGCUUGGGUCUUUUGCAUUUUAGUGUACAAUUUAGGGUCAGUUUAUAAGUUAUACACGUACGUAUGUAUAAGCACACACAAGAGCAUGUGCAUACACACCCCUGUGGGGAUUUUGGUUGUAAUUGCAUUGAAUCAGUAAAACAUCUGAGGAGAAUUUACGUUUUUACAAUAUCAAGUUUUAUCCAUGCUACAGUAUAUCCAUUUCUUUAGGUCUUUGAAGUUUUUCAAUGAACUUUUACAAUUUUUCCAUUAGAAGUCUUACAUAUCUUUUAUUAAAUUUAUUCCUAGAUACUUGUUUUAUGUUUUUUAUGUAAUGAUGUUUUAAAUAUUCAUUUUUUGUUUAUUGCUGCUAUGUAAUAUAGAAAUCACUUUAUUUCUCCAUGUUCAUGUUGACUCCAGAGAUUGUGUUAAACUCUUACUAAUUCUGAUAUUUUAUCUGUAAAUAUUUUGCCUUUUUCUCUUCAAUCCUUGUCUUUUUCUUGCUUUACUCUGCUGACUAGGAUUCCAGUGUCAUGUUGAAUAGAAAUGGUAAUAGCGGGCAUCUCUUUUAGUUCCUGAUUUCAAAGGGAAGUCUUCAUCCUGCCAGAAUUUGUUGUAUAUAUAGCAUUUGAUAUUCCUUAUCAAGUUAAGGAUGUUUCUUCUCUUCCUACUGGCUGAAAGUUUUUAGUCAUGGAAGGGUAUUAAAAUGUAUCAAAAGCUUUUUCUGCAUCUCCUGAGCCAGUCAAGAUUUUUUGCCUUAUCAUUGUAAAUAUUUUUUUGUAGAUAUUUGUGAGGAUACCUGCUAAAGCAGAGAAGUAAUUCCAGUCCCAGCUAUUUUAUUAGACAUGGCUUUUUUUUUUUUUUUAAGUUUUAUUGAAGCGUAGUUGAUUUAUAAGGUUGUAUUUCUGCUGUACAACAAAGUGAUUCAGUCAUACAUACACAUAUCCGUUUCCUUUUUUUUUUUUUUGCCUUUUUAGGGCUAUACCCUCCACAUAUGGAAGUUCCCAGGCUAGGGGCAAAAUCUGAGCUACAGCAGCCUGCCUACACCACAACCACAGCAGUGAGGGAUCCAAGCCACAUGUGCAACCUACAUCACAGCUCACAGCAAUGCCGAAUCCCCGACCCACUGAGCAAGGCCAGAGAUUGAACCCAUGUUCUCAUGGAUACUAGUUGGAUUUGUUGCCACUGCGCCACAGCAGGAACUCACCACAUAUCCAUUUCUUUCAGAUUCUUUUCCCACAUAGAUUAUCACAGAAUAUUAGGUAGAGUUCUCUGUGCUAUAUAGCAGAUCUCCAUUGUCCAAUCUUUCCAUAUAUACUUCAGUGUGCAUGUGCCAAAGGCGUGGCUUUUAAAGAAAAUAAAAGGCCAUAAAAACAUUGUUCUUUCUCAUGUCUUACCUUCAGGUAAGUUCUAUAAAGCGUUUUGCUGCUGCAGCACAUUUCCUUUACAGAUUGUAAAACUUUAUUUUUAGUUGCUCAUAUGACUGUCCAUAUCUCCUGAAGUUUUUGAAAAGUGAUGCAAUGAAUCUGAACCUCAUUGUACUCACCUGUAGAAUGCCUGAAGGUGUUUUCUAACAGGUGGCUUUCAGUGGGAUUUCUGGCUUACCUUUGCCCUCAUAGAGAGCAGUUGCUAAUUCAGGCAUAUCUUCUAUUGAUAACAGAAAAUGGCCUUUUUACUGAGAUAAGCAGAGGACCUGUCAUAAGACAAUAGGCAUAUCAGCUUGAACACUGUCCUUCUUAACUGAAGAAUCUCCCCACUUUAUGUCAGGAACUCCUAUCAGACCUUUACUCUCUGCAUUGAGUUGUCAUGGAAGGCUGCCCCAUUCCCCUAAGUGGCUGGAGGAGCAGGCCUGUGAGAGGACCAGAAAUGACUGAGCUCCUGCUACCCUGGCAAUUGUUUUGUCUCAUCUUGAGAUUUUUUUUCUUUUUUUGUCUUUUUGCCUUUUCUUGGUCCGCUCCUGCAAUAUGUGGAGGUUCCCAGGCUAGGGGUCUAAUCGGAGCUGUAGCUGCCAGCCUACACCAGAGCCACAGCAAUGGGGGAUCCGAGCCAUUUCUGCGACCUACACCACAGCUCAUGGCAACACCGGAUCCUUAACCCACUGAGCAAGGCCAGGGGUUGAACCCGCAACCUCAUGGUUCCUAGUCAGAUUGGUUAACCACUGAGCCACAAUGGGAACUCAUCUUGAGAUUUCUUUCUCAGCUUCUAAAUUGUUUUUGUCAGUGUCCUCUUUUUAUCACUACUGCUGUCUUUUUUUCUCUCAGCCUUUCUUCCUAUCUUAAAGGAAGAUUCGUUCCAUUCUGUUUCUAGAGCUAAGUCCUCUUCCCAUCUCUCCCUGACAUACACCAUAAUCUCACUUCUUCAACCGAGGUGCCUUUAUUUGUUCCUUCUUUUGUAACUACAGAUUUCCCCAGAUUGUCCCAAUUUCUUAAAGAAUACAGCUCUUCAGAGUUCCCAUCAUGGCUCAGUAACUGACUAGUAACUAACUAGUAACUCAGUAACUAACUAGUAACUGACUAGUAACCAUGAGGAUGUGGGUUCGAUCCCUGGCCUUGAUCAGUGGGUUAAGGAUCUGGUGUUGCCGUGAGCUGUGGCAUAGGUUGCAGAUGUGGCUCAGAUCUGGUGUGGCUGUGGCUCUGGCGUAGGCCGGCAGCUGCAGCUCCGAUUCACCCUCUAUCCUGGGACCAUCCAUAUGCCUCAGGUGUGGCCCUAAAAAGACAAAAAAAAAAAAAAA
rnacentral:lncRNA from 1 species